rnacentral:rRNA from 1 species
AGCUCCAAUAGCGUAUAUUAAAGUUGUUGCAGUUAAAAAGCUCGUAGUUGGAUUUCGGAAUGGGCCAGUUGGUCCGCCUCACGGUGUGUUACUGGCUGGUCUGUUCUUCUUCGCAAAGACUGCGUGUGCUCUUUACCGAGUGUGCGUAGGAUUUACGACGUUUACUUUGAAAAAAUUAGAGUGUUCAAAGCAGGCCUACCGCUUGAAUACAUGAGCAUGGAAUAAUGGAAUAGGACUUUGGUCUUAUUUUGUUGGUUUCUAAGACCGAAGUAAUGAUUAAUAGGGACAGCCGGGGGCAUUAGUACUCAGACGACAGAGGUGAAAUUCUUGGACCGUUUGAGGACUAACUACUGCGAAAGCAUUUGCCAAGAGUGUUG